rnacentral:lncRNA from 1 species
AGUGAAGCGAGCAAGGCGCGAUGGACGGCCGAGUGCAGCUGAUCAAGGCCCUCCUGGCCCUGCCCAUUCGGCCCCAGACGCGUCGGUGGAGGAACCCGAUCCCCUUCCCCGAGACGUUUGACGGCGACACCGACCGGCUUCCGGAGUUUAUCGUGCAGACAGGCGCCUACAUGCUAGUGGACGAGACCCUGUUCACCAACGAUGCCCUGAAGGUGACGUUCCUCAUCACCCGGCUGACCGGGCCCGCCCUGCAGUGGGUGAUCCCCUACAUCAGGAAGCAGAGCCCCCUCCUCAACGAUUACCGGGGCUUCCUGGCCGAGAUGAAGCGGGUCUUUGGAUGGGUGGAGGACGAGGACUUCUAGACCGGGAGUCCCUCGGGCCUGGGGGCGGGUGCCCGGGGGAGGAUGCCCGGGGGAGGGUCCGCCGCGCCAGUCGCCGCCGCCCAGAUCGCCACAGGCGGCGUCCUCCCGCCGCGCCUCCCCUCUCCCUCGCCUUCGGGUCGCCGUGAUCUCCCCCGCGCUCGUGUCCCCUCCCGCGUAGUGCUUGCCUUUGUUCCAGGAAUAGCGCUCCAGGUUCCCGCUGCUGCCACCGCCAGGCCUGGCUCUGGAGCGGCCGCCGCCCUCUCGGGCCAGCCCGGCCCCUCCCCUGCACACUUAAACUCGGUCGUGCGCUCCAGCUGCAAGCCGGGCUCCUAUUACACAUCAGACAGACCACCCUCAGCCCGGCUGCUGCCAACCGCCCGCCCUCUGCCAGACUCCCAGGCCCGCAUACAGGUGCCCAGAGACCUGCGCUGCCGCUGCCGCCGCCACGGCCACUGCCAUCCACCGCAUCCCGCCGACAGCCUGCAGCCUUCAGCGGUCUGGACUCGCCCGGGAGGUGUCUGAGCUGGGCACAGCCUCUGGACAAUGCUUCCAACAGCUCGCCACCGCCCUGGAGGGGCUGGCCAGCCUUUCACCUUCGGCGGGAUCCAGUCCCUCCCUCCUCCUAGAGACAUCUUCUGCUCCUGCCAGGUGGCCGCCAGGUCCCAGGGGUGCCUGGCAGCCAAAUCGAGCCACUCGUUGUCUCCUGUGGACCUGUUCGUUUCGCCCAGAAUCCAGUUCUCUUCUGGAUGUGCAGUAUUUUCUUAGUUAUUGGUUUAUUGGUCAACAGUAUAACUUAUAUCUACCCAACUCCUCAACACUACUUGAACAAAACUCUUUUCUUAUUUUCAAUAAACGUCAGACACUAUU